rnacentral:rRNA from 1 species
UCCAGACUCCUACGGGAGGCAGCAGUGAGGAAUAUUGGUCAAUGGGCGAGAGCCUGAACCAGCCAAGUCGCGUGAGGGAGUACUGCCCUAUGGGUUGUAAACCUCUUUUGUCAGGGAGCAAAGGGCGCCACGUGUGGCGCUUUGCGAGUACCUGAAGAAAAAGCAUCGGCUAACUCCGUGCCAGCAGCCGCGGUAAUACGGAGGAUGCGAGCGUUAUUCGGAUUUAUUGGGUUUAAAGGGUGCGCAGGCGGAAUGUCAAGUCAGCGGUAAAAUUUCGGGGCUCAACCCCGUCGUGCCGUUGAAACUGGCGUUCUUGAGUGAGCGAGAAGUAUGCGGAAUGCGUGGUGUAGUGGUGAAAUGCAUAGAUAUCACGCAGAACUCCGAUUGCGAAGGCAGCAUACCGGCGCUCAACUGACGCUCAUGCACGAAAGCGUGGGUAUCGAACAGGAUUAGAUACCCGUGUAGC